rnacentral:lncRNA from 1 species
GUCAUAACGGCGACCGUGAAGACUUUUAAAAUAGAGACCAACGUGGCCGGGCAGGAAGAGCAGGGUCCCGCCUUCAGGUGUUUGGGACUCAGCUGAGGGUGUGGGUGCCCCGCGGUGGGGGCUGAACCUUCCUGGGGUGUGGAGAGACGAAAGGAGCCCAGAUCCAAGUUCCCUCGUUCCCGCUUUGGCAUAAGUUGCCCUGGCGGUCUCAUGAGAGAGAGAAAGAGCUGGGACCCUCCUCGCCCCAGUGAGUGUGAUGUCUUGCUCCGGGUGUCCUGGGGCAACUUUCUAUACAGGCGGGACGUGGGAGGAUCAGACAGUGUAACAUCAGACAAGGGUGUUGACUCUGCAGCACAGAACCAGUAGUUUGUGGAGAAGAAUGGAGGUGUGGUGUUGAAUCUGCUAGACAGGCUACUGAAGCAAAAGUCAAGAGAUCCAGAUUCCAUCAUGGGGACACUUUAGUUCUUCAUCGGGUAAUUGAGCUGAUAUCAGGUGUCUGAAGGAGGCAAGUUUUGAAGAUGUGGGUCAUGAUGGCUGCUGAAGCUUCCACUCCAUAUUUGAAGGUCAGCAGUUCUCAGGAAACCUCUAGCACUUCCAUCCCUGGUGGGAUGUGAUGCCUGUCUCAGUGUAACAUCAGAGAAGGGGUGUACUCUGUGCCCUAGAACUAGGAGCUAACAGAGAAAAACCAAAUGUGAUGUGGAGUCUGCUAGACAGGCUACUGGAGCAAGAGUGAAGCGAUGAAAGUCUCAUCAUUGGGACAUAUUAGGGCACAAUUAUUUUAUCUUGGAACCAACAAUCUUCGGAGAAUGUAUCCCAAAGAUACAAUUCAAAAAGAUAAAAAGGCAGAAGCACAAGGUCAUUCUUGGCAGAACAAAUUGUAACAGCAGAAGACUGGAAAUAAGACAGAUGUCCACCAAUAAAGGACUGACUGAAUAAUCUAAGGUGCAUCUACAUCCUAGAUUUCAAUGCCGGUAUAACAAGCAAGGAAGAUUCCCUCUCUCUGCUGCUAUGUAGUGAUUUCCAGGAUAUACCAUUAAGUGAAUAAAGCAAAGUGCAGAAAAAUGUGUAGAGCUGCUGUUGUCCCAUACCAUACCCACUGGCCACUCAUGGCUAUUUAAGUUAACUAAAUUUAAAUGGAAUUUUAAAUUCACUUCCUCAGUCACACUCACCACAUUUUAGGUGUUUAAUAGUCACAGGUAGCUAGUGGCUACUAUGUUGGACAGUUGAGACAUAGAAUAUUUUCACCUUUGUAGAAAUUCUAUUGGACUCCACCAGUGUAGAAUAUGUCACCUUAUAUAUAUGGAAUAGGAGAAAACUAAUAGAAACAUUCUAUUUGCUUAUAUUUUUAAAAUUGGAAAGUUUUAAUGAAAAUUGAUUUAAAAAAUCAUUACCUAUAAAGAGAAGGAAAAACAGCCCAGGACAGAAGCCAAUAAUGUCUUUUCCCUUAAAAAUAUAAUAUAUAUACACUGGCUCCAUGCACUAGAAAGGUGAAGAAACAUGAUAGACCCAGUAGCAAUGAGCAACUCUAGUGCCCAUAUUGAAUCCACUUAAAACACAUCACACUGAAAGGAACUAGGUUAUCUUAGAGAAAUGACUGAGUUUAGGUCUGUGUAGCCAUUCUACUAGAUGAAUCUGGACCAAACUAUCAUGCCAGAGAGUGCGUCAAAAAGACUCAGAAGCCAAGCUUAAGGGGCUCUCGCUGGACAAAGAUGAAGCAAUUUGAACAUUAAAUAAAAUAAUGACUACUAUGGAUUAAAACACAUUAUAAUAUAAAAACUUCUACAGCUCAUGAUGACACUCUAAAAGAAAAAUAAAAUAAAACAAACAAUAUCAACUCAUUGCUUGCCUUUGGAGAACCCUAGGGAAACAACUCAUUGUUUUGAAAAGUGGAAAUAUUGCAAAAGAAUUAGGCACUCAUCCAACCCUUUCUAUACAUACUAUCCCUCAGUGUAACCUAAUGGUUUAUGAAAGUUUAUUUAAUAGAAUAAUUCCAGCUAAUAAAGCAGAGAAAAUUAUAGAAUUAGAAUAUCAUCCUUUUAUGACCUUUAAUGAAUAUAGAACUAAGCAACAAUCCUUAGACGCUGCAGAAAAAUCGAGGUGAAAAAGGGAUGGGAAAUUUUAUAAUGGAUGGAUCAGCUUAACAAUACUUGAACAUAGUAAUUAAUCUUAACAUCACAAGAGGAGAGACAAUUAGACACAAUGAGCCCCCUGUGUAACACUAUAGGAAUAAACAAUACCACAUAUGAAGUACUUCUGACCAAAACAAAUCUAAAUUGAAUCAAGCCUCUGAAUCUAACACCAUUUUGUUAAAUUUUUUUAUUAUACUUUUAAGUUCUGGGAUACAUGUGGAGAAUGUACAGG